AGAGUUUGAUCCUGGCUCAGGAUGAACGCUAGCGGCAGGCCUAACACAUGCAAGUCGAGGGGUAGAGUUAGCUUGCUAACUUGAGACCGGCGCACGGGUGCGUAACGCGUAUGCAAUCUACCUUGUACAGGGGGAUAGCCCAGAGAAAUUUGGAUUAAUACCCCAUAGUAUAUUUGAAUCGCAUGGUUUAAAUAUUAAAGUUCCAACGGUACAAGAUGAGCAUGCGUCCCAUUAGCUAGAUGGUAAGGUAACGGCUUACCAUGGCAAUGAUGGGUAGGGGUCCUGAGAGGGAGAUCCCCCACACUGGUACUGAGACACGGACCAGACUCCUACGGGAGGCAGCAGUGAGGAAUAUUGGUCAAUGGACGCAAGUCUGAACCAGCCAUGCCGCGUGCAGGAAGACGGUCCUAUGGAUUGUAAACUGCUUUUAUACAGGAAGAAACAACUCUACGUGUAGAGUCUUGACGGUACUGUAGGAAUAAGGAUCGGCUAACUCCGUGCCAGCAGCCGCGGUAAUACGGAGGAUCCAAGCGUUAUCCGGAAUCAUUGGGUUUAAAGGGUCCGUAGGCGGCCUUAUAAGUCAGUGGUGAAAUCUCCUAGCUCAACUAGGAAACUGCCAUUGAUACUGUAGGGCUUGAAUUCUUAUGAAGUAACUAGAAUAUGUAGUGUAGCGGUGAAAUGCUUAGAUAUUACAUGGAAUACCAAUUGCGAAGGCAGGUUACUAAUAAGACAUUGACGCUGAUGGGACGAAAGCGUGGGGAGCGAACAGGAUUAGAUACCCUGGUAGUCCACGCCGUAAACGAUGGAUACUAGCUGUUCGGACGCAAGUUUGAGUGGCUAAGCGAAAGUGAUAAGUAUCCCACCUGGGGAGUACGCACGCAAGUGUGAAACUCAAAGGAAUUGACGG
rnacentral:rRNA from 1 species